rnacentral:rRNA from 1 species
UACGUAGGUGGCAAGCGUUGUCCGGAUUUACUGGGCGUAAAGAGCGCGCAGGCGGUCGUUCAAGUCGCGUGUGAAAGCCCCCGGCUCAACUGGGGAGGGUCACGCGAUACUGAUCGACUGGAAGGCAGGAGAGGGUAGUGGAAUUCCCGGUGUAGUGGUGAAAUGCGUAGAUAUCGGGAGGAACACCAGUGGCGAAGGCGGCCCGCUGGGCUGGUGGCUGACGCUGAGGCGCGACAGCGUGGGGAGCAAACAGG